GCGCUCUUAGUUCAGUAAGGUAGAACGUGGGUCUCCAAAACCCGAUGUGGUAGGUUCAAAUCCUACAGAGCGCG
rnacentral:tRNA from 5 species